UGCUGAGCACGGUGUAGCGCUUGUGGAUCAAAUGGGACUUGUAGAUGCCCUCGGGGGUUUAGUCUCAUGCAUGGGAAGCCUCGAUGACUUUCAGGAAGGGACCUGAUCGGCCACUCCUCCCUGCCCCAGGGCGCGUGUAAACAGCCGCACGUGGACGCAGAUUUGGGGGACGCACCCACGUCCCUUCCCAGUGGGACCGCCCCGCGUUGGGCGGCGGUUGGAGCCGCGGGAAGGUGGCUAGACAGGGUGACCCGACUGCAUUCCUGGCCGGUGUGUCAGCGCCACUUCCCGCCCCCUCUGCCAAGAUUUAGGAUCCUACUCCAGAAUUGGGGCACCACUUCUAUCCAGGCGCCCGCUCCGGCCGGCACCAUGGACAGCGAGGCAUUCCAGAGCGCGCGGGACUUUCUGGACAUGAACUUCCAGUCGCUGGCCAUGAAACACAUGGAUCUGAAGCAGAUGGAGCUGGACACGGCGGCGGCCAAGGUGGAUGAACUGACCAAGCAGCUGGAGUCGCUGUGGUCAGACUCUCCCGCGCCUCCUGGCCCGCAAGCCGGACCCCCUUCUAGGCCGCCCCGGUACAGCUCCAGCUCGAUCCCUGAGCCCUUUGGCAGCCGAGGGUCCCCCCGGAAGGCGGCCGCCGAUGGCGCAGACACCCCGUUCGGACGAUCAGAGAGUGCCCCAACCCUGCACCCCUACAGCCCGCUGUCCCCCAAGGGCCGGCCGUCGUCACCACGCACUCCGCUCUACCUGCAGCCGGACGCCUACGGCAGCUUGGACCGCGCGCCCUCGCCCCGACCCCGCGCCUUCGAUGGCUCAGGCAGCUCCCUUGGCCGUGCGCCCUCCCCGCGGCCCGGGCCAGGCCCGCUCCGCCAGCAGGGUCCUCCCACGCCUUUCGACUUCCUGGGCCGCGCAGGCUCCCCCCGUGGCAGCCCCCUGGCGGAGGGGCCCCAGGCCUUCUUCCCAGAGCGCGGGCCUUCACCGCGCCCCCCUGCCACCGCCUACGACGCGCCAGCGUCCGCCUUCGGGAGCUCCCU
rnacentral:lncRNA from 1 species